UACGAAGGGGGCUAGCGUUGCUCGGAAUCACUGGGCGUAAAGGGUGCGUAGGCGGGUCUUUUAAGUCAGGGGUGAAAUCCUGGAGCUCAACUCCAGAACUGCCUUUGAUACUGAAGAUCUUGAGUUCGGGAGAGGUGAGUGGAACUGCGAGUGUAGAGGUGAAAUUCGUAGAUAUUCGCAAGAACACCAGUGGCGAAGGCGGCUCACUGGCCCGAUACUGACGCUGAGGCACGAAAGCCAGGGGAGCAAACGGG
rnacentral:rRNA from 1 species